AAACAGCACUGGCCCCGAGCACAGUAGGAAUUUCUCCAAAACCAAGAGAACCCCUGAAAAACUCCACGCUUUGAUCAUAUGAGGCAAGCAUGCCCAUGUUCAAUGCCAUUGCUCGUGUAACAGUUGGACCAGCACCCUUCCAGAGAGCGAGAACCCCUUCAUCAGCAGCAAUACGGUACAGGGCAUGGAAAGCAUUCUUAUAGUGUCGUCUUUGUGCGGCAGGUAAUGUUGCAUCAGCCUGCAUCCUAAUGAGUGCCAAAUCAGCUGGACUGCCAAAACAGGAGCCAAUUGCGCCGGCUGUCAGCCCAAUAAAAGCUUUCUGAAGGAGAGGUAAAGGUUUCCCAUCAUUAGCCUCUAUUGCUUUGUUCGUCAAGACCCUAAACGAUCCUAGUCGUGCAGUUGUGUACGUAGCUUGCCUUAG
rnacentral:misc_RNA from 1 species